AUGGGCGGGUGGAGCUGCUUCUGCUGCGGCAACCUGUUCGGCGCCGGGGGAGAUGCCGCGGUCCGGCUGCCGGAGCCGUUCCAGCUGCCGGCGCCCUUGCCCGCGUGGCCGCAAGGACGGGACUUCGCAAAGGGCGUGAUAUGCAUAGGAGAACUUGAUAUUGCAAAUAUUACCCAAUUCCGGAAUAUAUGGAGCUACUCUGGAGCUACGUUCUAUGAGCCAGAAGAGGUUCCUGAUGGUUUCCACUGCCUUGGCCACUAUGCCCAACAAAAUGACCGGCUUUUACAGGGUUCUCUUGUUGUUGCAAGGGAAACGGCUAGCUGCCAGUUAAUCAAUAGCAGGCCUGCUCUUGAGAAACCAUUAGAUUACACCCUCGUUUGGACUAAUGCUGGUGUGUAUGAAGAUGACAAUAGUGAAUGCGGUUGCUUCUGGUUGCCAUCACCCCCUGAGGGUUAUGAAGCCCUUGGCUAUGUGGUUACUAGAGGACCAAAGAAGCCCUCACUGGAGGCGGUCCGGUGUGUGCGACAGGACCUCACGGAUCCAUGUGAAAACUUUAGGUCAGUCGUUAAUGUGGAACGUACAUGCCAAGUUUGGAAGACGAGGCCUUGCCACCGAGGGACAGCAGGACGAGGUAUACCUGUUGGUACAUUCUUCUGUGAAACAAAUUCAGUUAACAGUCAGGAAUCAGGCAUUCCCUGCUUGAAGAACUGCGACCCGAAUUUGAGAGCCAUGCCUGAUCUAGAGCAGAUUCAUGCACUAAUCAAGCACUAUGGCCCAACUGUUUUCUUCCACCCACAAGAGAAAUACUUGCCGUCAUCAGUUUCUUGGUUCUUUGAGAAUGGAGCUACACUGAACAAGAAAGAUAUGAAAAUGGGAGAUCCAAUACUUGCUGGUGGCUCAAACCUGCCUGCUGGUGGGACAAAUGACGGUGAGUACUGGAUUGACCUCCCCGAUGAUGAUACGCGUGAGUUUGUCAAAGUUGGCAAUUUGAAGAGUGCCGAGCUCUAUGCUCAUGUUAAGCCGGCUCAUGGAGGGACCUUCACCGACAUUGCCAUGUGGGUGUUCUGUCCGUUCAACGGGCCAGCAACGAUAAAGGUUGGACUUGCAAGCUUUGCUCUGCAGAAGGUUGGCAGGCAUACGGGAGACUGGGAGCAUUUCACCCUCCGCAUAAGUAACUUCUCUGGAGAACUCUCAUCUGUCUACUACUCAGAGCACAGCGGGGGAGGAUGGGUGGACGCUUGCGAUCUGGAGUUCAUCUCAGGAAACAAGGCGAUCGUGUAUUCGUCGAGGAAUGGGCAUGCAAGCUACGCGCACCCUGGCUGCUACCUGCAGGGCUCUGAAAACCUCGGCGUCGGAUUAAGAAAUGACGUCGCACGGAGCGACCUGUCAAUUGAUUCGAGCACGAGGUAUAAGAUCAUCUCGGCAGAAUACCUUGGAGACGCCGUGGUGGAACCGUGCUGGCUGCAGUACAUGAGGGAGUGGGGCCCGACCUUGACGUACAACUCACGGUCAGAGGUGGACACGGUACUUAGCUUCUUGCCGUUCUUCCUCCGGUUCACGGCGGAAGCCAUAUUCGACAGUCUUCCUGCGGAGCUGUACGAGGAGGAAGGCCCGACCGGACCGAAGGAGAAAAAUAACUGGGAUGGUGAUGAGCGGUGCUAG
rnacentral:rRNA from 1 species